GACGAACGCUGGCGGCGUGCUUAACACAUGCAAGUCGAACGCUGAAGCUUGGUGCUUGCACUGGGUGGAUGAGUGGCGAACGGGUGAGUAAUACGUGAGUAACCUGCCCUUGACUCUGGGAUAAGCCUGGGAAACUGGGUCUAAUACUGGAUACGACAUGCCACUGCAUGGUGGUGUGUGGAAAGGGUUUUACUGGUUUUGGAUGGGCUCACGGCCUAUCAGCUUGUUGGUGGGGUAAUGGCCUACCAAGGCGACGACGGGUAGCCGGCCUGAGAGGGUGACCGGCCACACUGGGACUGAGACACGGCCCAGACUCCUACGGGAGGCAGCAGUGGGGAAUAUUGCACAAUGGGCGGAAGCCUGAUGCAGCGACGCCGCGUGAGGGAUGACGGCCUUCGGGUUGUAAACCUCUUUCAGCACGGAAGAAGCGAGAGUGACGGUACGUGCAGAAGAAGCGCCGGCUAACUUCGUG
rnacentral:rRNA from 1 species